GAUGAACGCUAGCGGCAGGCCUAACACAUGCAGGUCGAGGGGUGACAUGAAAAGCUUGCUUUUCUGAUGACGACCGGCGCACGGGUGCGUAACGCGUAUACAACCUACCUUUUAGCGGGGAAUAGCCCAGGGAAACUUGGAUUAAUGCCCCAUAGUAUAUGGACUUCUCCUGAAGUUUAUAUUUAAACAUUUAUGGCUAUUAGAUGGGUAUGCGUCCUAUUAGUUAGUUGGUAAGGUAACGGCUUACCAAGGCAGCGAUAGGUAGGGGUCCUGAGAGGGAGAUCCCCACACUGGUACUGAGACACGGACCAGACUCCUACGGGAGGCAGCAGUGAGGAAUAUUGGACAAUGGGCGAGAGCCUGAUCCAGCCAUGCCGCGUGCAGGAAGACUGCCCUAUGGGUUGUAAACUGCUUUUACAGAGGAAGAACCACCCCCACGUGUGGGGGUUUGACGGUACUCUGCGAAUAAGGAUCGGCUAACUCCGUG
rnacentral:rRNA from 1 species